AUUAAGUUAAUAAAUAUGAUAACAUAUAUUCUUAAGAGUUGAAAAAUUUGAAACAUGUGCUAAUCUUAAUUAACUCAUAAAUUACAUUCGAUCGUAGGAUCAUCACAGGGAUGGUGAUCGAUCUAGAAGAUUAGUGUAUGAUUGCUUCUUUCGGAUAGAUGAGUCUUGAAUCUAUGGUGUGGAGACAUCGAAAUGAAAGUACAGAUGCUCAUAAGAAUAAAGAUACAGAGCGUGACCAUUUACGAAU
rnacentral:lncRNA from 1 species